ensembl:lncRNA
CAAGAGGGGGAAAAAGGCAGCUUUUAUAAACAGGUGUUUUGUGUUCAUCCUGUAGCUCUGAGGAAUAAAUAUAAAAAUAUCUCACAACUAUUCAUUUCCUACAUUUCUUCACUGUUCAUUUUUAAAAACCCAAUUAGUAUUUACAUUUGAUUUAAAAUUACCCUUUUGCAUUUUAUUUCACAUAUAUUUCUUGUGUGAUUUACAGAGAACUUUUUAGGUAGCAGGUAAUUUUUUUUUUAAGAUAAAAAAAAGAACUCAGGGUCACAGAGUUAGGUCAACAUAGCUGACUUGAACUUAGAUCUUCAAAUUCUAAAAUCAAUAUUCUUUCCACUGUAUAUAUCUUGACUCUUGCAUGCAUUUCACUCCUUUCAGGUGAUCAGCAUUUCAAAAAUCAAUGUCUUAGUAAUUUCUAAAUCCAGUAAUUAUUUCUUCUGUUCUCUGUGGUUUGUCAUUAUUCAUUAGCAUUAAUUGUUUCUUUAUGAAAUACCUAACCCCCAAAAAACUUCUUCCUUAAGAAAUGUUCUAAUUUUAGAAGACAGCAUAAGAAAAUAUUACUGAAAAAUGAUUACUCAGAGGUAAUCAUUCUAUGUGUUUAAGUAGACUUCCUCUAUAUAUCUUUAAUAUAGUUGAGAUCAUAAUUACGUCCCUUUUUUUUUUUUCUAUUUCAUGGCUUGUCAAAAUUCUCACUUUCGUUAAGCAAAGGAAAAGAUUUGUUUAUAUCUUGACAACUUGGAGAUUUUAGGACCGCAAAUCAUAGCAGCAGGGCAGAAUGUUUGUAUCAUCUCUUUAUUCCUCUGCACAGGGCUGUCACAUACAUACAUAGGCUGUCACUUUCUGCAUUACUGUUCCUGCAGUGCAGAGCUUGAGGGACUGUUGGAGUUUGCCCUUUUCGGAACUAAGCAGGUGUUAUGUUAACUGUUCAUGUUCUCCCGUUUGCUGAUGAUAAUCUUUUUUUUUAAUUUCAAUUUUCAAAUAAUUUUAGACAGUGAAGAGUUUCAAAAAUAAUACAAACAACUCAACAAUCCGUUUAUUUUUCCUGCAUUUUCACCAAAUUGUAAUAUUUUGCCACAUGUGCUUUAUUAUUACACACACAUUCAUAUAUUACAUUGUAUAUAAUUUUACAUAAUAUGUGUAAUAGUUCUACAUAUGUAUUUAUGCAUACAUGUAUAUGUACACACAUAUAUGUAUGUGUGUGUAUGCGAGUGUCCUAAUAUGUUGACUAAUGUUUCCUCAUGAUUAGAUCCAGAUUAAUUUUGAUUGAAAUAUAACAGCAGUGAUUCUGUUUUCUUCUUAGGGCAUCCUCUCUGUAGACUCAUAUCUAUUUAUUCAGAAUUAACUGAUGAAGUUAAUUUUGAUCACUUGUUUAAAGUGGUAUCUUCUGGGUUCUGCACUGUUAAGUUACUGUGUCUCCCUUCAUAGUUAAUUAGCUAUCUUGAGGGGAGAUAUUUUGCUGAUAUGUAGAUAUCCCGUUCCUCAUAAACUUUAAUCUCUCAUUUAAUAUCCAUUUCCAUUAAUGAGUCUUUCUUGAUACAGUUAUUACCAUGGUUGUAGUCACAUAGUGAUAGUCUAAUUCCAUUAUUCUAUCUAAAUUUAUAAGUUGAUAUUCUGAGUCUUCUUUAUUCCAUAUAUUUAUUUUCACGUUUAAAAAAUCAAUAUAGAAUCAUGAAUUCCUAUUUUAAUAUCUGUAAUUUAUUAUUAAUUAUUUUGAUGCUAAAAUUGUCCCAGAUUUAGUCAGUAAUUGCCCCUUGAACCACAUCUUUUGGGGUUUUUUUUUUUUUUUUUUUGGUCUUUUUGUCUUUUCCAGGGCUGCACUGCAGCAUAUGGAGGUUCCCAGGCUAGGGAUUGAAUCAGAGCUGUAGCCGCCGGCCUACACCAGAGCCACAGCAAUGUGGGAUCCAAGCCAUGUUGCAACCUACACCACAGCUCAUGGCAACACCAGAUCCUUAACCCACUGAGCGAGGCCAGGGAUUGAACCCGCAACCUCAUGGUUCCUAGUAGAUUCGUUGACCACUGAGCCACAACGGGAACUCCCCUAGCCACAUUCUUGAAAUCAUCAUUUCUCCAAGGAACCUGGUUCUGUUAAAUAGAGAAGGGUAUGUAAAAAUCACAAUCUUGGCAUCAGAUGUGUUCAUUGUUGCCAAGGUUUCUUUGGUCGUAUACUCUCUCAGCAGAGUUAGGAAAUAAUGUGAAUAUAUUUACAUGUGUGCACACAAACACACACCAAUUUAUUGAUCUUUUAAAAGCUAUACAUCCAUACUGAUACUGCCAAUUAUAGUCUGACAACGCAAGUUUCAUUUUAACCUCCCACUUUCUACAUUUGUAAUGCAUUUUUUUUGUCAGUAAAACACCUGGGCCCCAUUUCCCAACUUAGACUGCUUAUUUUUACAAUACUCAUUAUGUAUUUAAGAAUUGCUAACCAGUAUCAUUGCAAAAAUAAUCCACCUACUAAUGGGAAUUUAACAUUUAAUUUUUUUUUGUUUUGAGUAUAUGAAAUAUAACAUGGCUCAAAAUGACAGAACUACAUAAAAAGGUAUACUCAGAGAAAAGUUAACUUUCAUUCCUCAGCCCUCUAUCCUCUUUUCAUCUUUCCAUAUCUUCCACAUGGUUUCCCUCUACCCACUGUAGAUAAUCAACCUUAUUAUAUUCUUGUUUUUCUGUGUUUCUUUUGCUCACUUUAGAAAAUGUAUCUUUUUAUUUGCAUUUUGCUUUUUUCAGUAUAUCCAUAAAAUCCCUUUAUGUCAACUCAAAGAGCUCUUCAUUUUUUUCUGAGUAUUCAACAUUGUACAAUUAUAAACAAUGCUGUAUAUAAAUUUAUUUACUACUAUGUUGUGUAUUUUCAAGGUAAAUUCCAUGAAGUAGGGUUGCUGAGUCAAAAGAAAAUGGUUGUGUAAUUGUUAGAUAUUUUCAGAUUCAUAAAAAGGUUGUACAAAUAUGUAUUCACUAGCAGUGUAUGGGAUGUGUAUAUGCCAAUCCCAUCCUCCCAGUUUAUCCCUCCCUUCAGCAUUUCCCCUUUUGUAAUCAUAAGUUUGGUUUUAAAAUCUUAAGAGUCUGCUUCUGUUUUGUGAACAGGUUUUUUUGUAUCAUCUUUUAUUAGAUUCCACAUGUAAGCAAUAUCAUAUUUGUCUUUGUGUGUCUUACUUUACUUAGUAAGGUAAUUUCUAUGUCCAUCCAUGAUGCUGCAAAUGGCAUUAUUUUGUUCUUUUUAUGGCUAAUAUUCCAUUGUAUAUAUGUGGCACAUCUCUUUUAUCCAUUCCUCUGUUUAUGGACAUUUAGGUUGCUUCCAUGUUUUAGCUGUUAGAAAUAAUCCUGCAGUGAGCAUUGGUGUGCAUAUAUCUUUUCAAAUUAUGGUUUUCUCCAGAUAUAUUCCCAAGAGUGGGAUUGCUGGAUCAUAUGAUAGUUCUGUAUUUAGUUUUUUUAAAUGAAAAGACAACUUAUGGAAUGGGAGAAAAUAGUUACAAAUGAUGCAACUGACAAAGGCUUAAUUUCCAAAAUAUACAAACAACUCAUACAACUCAACAAUAAAACAAAAAACCCAAUCAAAAAAUGGGCAGAAGACCUAAAUAGACAUUUUUCCAAAGAAGACGUACAGAUGGCCAGUAGCACAUGAAAAAAAUGCUCAGAACAAAUGGUGGGGGAAAAAAUGUAAUUGUAAUGUAUACAUGUAAGGAUAACCUGACCCCCUUGCUGUACAGUGG